UACCAGCACCCCGAGUGGUCGGGACGUUUUUAUUGGGCCUAAAGCAUCCGUAGCCGGUUCUACAAGUCUUCCGUUAAAUCCACCUGCUUAACAGAUGGGCUGCGGAGGAUACUAUAAGACUAGGAGGCAGGAGAGGCAAGCGGUACUCAGUGGGUAGGGGUAAAAUCCGUUGAUCCAUUGAAGACCACCAGUGGCGAAGGCGGCUUGCCAGAAUGCGCUCGACGGUGAGGGAUGAAAGCUGGGGGAGCAAACCGGG
rnacentral:rRNA from 1 species